rnacentral:lncRNA from 1 species
CUUGCAGAGAUUCCCGUUUCCCUGCGCUGCGUGCAGAGCGGUUAAAAGGAGGAAUUGUGAGGUAGGAAGUCCCUGGUUCAAAUCUCACCUCAGACAUAAACUGACAGUCUCUCAAACUCAGCCCUCCCAGAUGCAGAGCAGAGAUGAUAUUAAUAGCCCACCCAGCAGGGUUGUUGUGAGGAUUAGUGAUGUCAUAUUAGGUGAGGCACUAUGGGACACUUAAAAUGUGCUGUGCCUUUGACAACCUGUUGCUGUCCAGAUGUUUUGGACUGCAACUCCCAUCAACUCCAGACACCACUGUGAUGGGGAUCGCCGGCCAAAACAACCGGAGGGAACGAGGUUGGCAAAUGCACUUCUACAAUUAAUUAGCCAACAACACCUUUAGGCAGUAAAAAAUAAUAAUUACUGAAUCAUAUAACAUGAGAAAUGACUUUUAAAAAAUAAUAAUUCCAGGUAUUGCCCCUGAAAUCCAUGGGUGCACAACUCCUGUUUAUUCUGCAUCCAGUUCACUCCUGCCGCUGGUUCGUGACAUUAUCCAUAACUCGCAUCUGUCCUGUAGUUUCUUGAGAAAUACUGUGUUUUAUUAGAAGUUUCGUUUAUUUUAUGUCCUGCUUUUCUCCCAGUGCAGGACCCAAGGGCUCCCACAGCAUAUAUUAAAACAAAUACAACUAAAAAUACACACUUAAAAAAUAUAAAUAUGUUUAAAAUUCAAUUAAAUGGUUAACCCUAUUAAAAAUAGCAUUGAAAACAAAACCAUUAAAAAAUUUCAACUCCCACCCUCAGAAGACAAACAGUGGCGACCUGGAAAGACAUCCAAUUGCAUGAGGUGCAAAUGUGAUGUGAAGUGUACUGAGGGCUGGGGCUGGGGAGACACUUCCUGUGUUUUAAGCUGGUAAUAUGUCCAUUAGGAUUCCAGCCCUGGUAGUUUGACACAUGAUCUGGUGACUGAGCUUGCAUUUCCCCAUUUCUGUGAAAUGGUGUAGUCUUAAGCAUGUGUACUCUGUGUUAUCAAUUAUAUGUAUUAACGCAGUGUCACUGGGCAGCGAAUGUUGGCAUCAUGGAGUAUGUGAAAUUCAAGACAGACAGAGUGCAUUAUAGCAGCGGGAUUGGGAUUCUGUGGCCUGCAGGCCCCAUCAUCGCUGCCCAUUGGCCAGGUUGGUUGGUGCUGAUAGGAAUAGGAGUCCAGCAAGAUCUGAAAGGCCACAGGUUCCCCGUUCCUAAUAUAGGAUUAUGGAGCCCACCUAGAGACCCUUCCCAACAUCUUCUGGGACCUGUAGUUGAAGGUUGUGCAUGAGAGGAAUCGGCCCAAAACCCAUCAGGCACAUCUCUCAUACCACACAUUGUUUUUUCCAGCAAUAACGGACCAAAGCUCUAAAACUGCUUUUCCCAACCUGAUGUUUUGAACUACAACUCGCAGCAGCCUCAGACAGUGUGGCCAGUAGCUCUCUUGGCUUAAAGCUCCUCAGCUUCUUGACUUUAGCGGCAUUUGAUCCCCUGACAUGGGCAUCUUUUACACUUGUUCAGACAUGAAUGCUGGCAAUGCAGGACAGAAAGUUGGAAAGAGUAUCACAUCUAAUUCGAUUGUACAUUUUAGCCAGUCUAAGAUUUACAUUGCAAUUACAGGCCUGGAAAAUGGGGAGGGGGGAAAUCCCUCCUAAUGUCACAUGUAGAAACGCCGUUAGGGUGGUUUUCUUUUCUUUCCUCUUAAAAGUCCCUAUGCUUAUUUUGCUCCAUGAUUUCAUUUUCCAGUACCAGCAUCAUCAGGGUGAGCAUCUCUCAUUUUAUCAUCUGCACCUCAAAAGGUCCUCCCAGUUCUGCCACGGCCAUUUCCUUGUCUCGUAAACCCAGAUGCCUAGAAAACGUGGGCAUAUCUGCCUCCACUCAGGAAGGGCAGGACAUUCUUGACUUCUCCGCAACUGAUAAUGGCACACAGAGCAGGUUGUUUCCGCACAUGAGACUUAAAUAGCCUCUCUGAGCUCCUCUCAUGCCCCUUACAUCAAGGUCUGCUGACUGUUCAUCACAGUUUCUGUUGACAUUGCAUUCUGCACCAGAUGCAGGGAGCCCUUUUUAGACCCAAGGGCUGCAUUGCAUUCUGGGAAGCCUUGGGGGGGAGGAGCACAUGCCAGUGGUAGGCGGAGCUAAAUGCAAAACUAGGCGGAGCAAUUAAUGCAAAUUCUACCUUUCUACGGUAGGCUAGUUUCUAUCUAUUCUUAGUCCUCCAGGCAAGCAUAAGGCAUGAUCAGAAUUCAAGAGAGGCAAAAACACUCAAGAAAGAUGCAAAGUAGGACUGGUAAAUGGCAUGGUCCUGGGAAGAAUGGGCAUGGCUGGGGCGGGAUAUGACAUGGGGAGACUCCUGAGGGCCAGAUGGAGAGAUUUAGAGGGGCACAUUUGGCUCCAAGGACCUGAGGUUCCCCCACCCCAGCUCUACAGUUUUAUGAUUCUGUGAACAUCUAGAGAAAGGAUGAACCCUGGCUUGAACCAGCAGGUGCUCAGCCACAACUGUAUCACAUUCAUGAUCACCACAACAAACCAACCAACAAACCAUGAUAGCUUCUCCUCCCCAACAGUGAGGCUGGAUCCACUUUCAGUCAGAGGGAAGACCAAUGUCAUAUUCAUAACAGUGGCCGCGAUGGGUUUUUCACCAGGAAGUCUUGCCCUUUUCCCUACAAAGCUGAAUCUCCCUCCUUUUUGUGUUUCAGGCAGGCUGUCCAUCUUGCUUCAAUUACAUUUCAAAAUAGCUACAACAUAGGUCUUAGAGCAGGGCUUUUAAGCCCAAGGGCCGCAAUCCUUUCUGGGCAGUGUUCCGAGGGCCACAUGCCAGUGGGAGGCAGGGCCAGAGGCAAAAGUGGGCAGAGCAAUGCAUGUGAGUUUCACCUUUGUACAUCGGGAUAAUUUCUACACAUACAUACAUACAUACAUACAUCCUCCAGCCAGACAAGCAGGAGGCACAAUCAGAGUUCAAGGGCAUAUCCCAGCCAGGCAGAAACACUCAGGGAGGGUAUGAAACAAGGCCAGUUAGGCAUAUGGCCUGGACAGCCAGCUUGGUCCGGAGGCCUACAUCUGGACCCAAGCCUGAGGUUCCCAACCCCUGGCUUAGAUGAGCAUACAUUCAUCCUUUGCCUUUUUUAAACCAAUGAGCGCUUACAGAUUGUUGCGAAACUGUUCCAGCCUUCAAGGGGAGCAGGUGUUCUUGAUAGCACAGGUACUAGCCAAUAGGCUUCAGCUGAAUUUCUUCUGGCAAGCUGAAAACAGGACCAGUCCUGCUCAGAAAAUAAUGUAAAAUUUCAAGGCAUGUUCUGCAGCUUUCUCCAGAAUUUUAAAAAAAUAUAUGUUUGCGUUUAGGGCUACGAUGGCGCUUUUUGCACUGUCAUCAUGUUUAAAACAUUACAGCUGUGUCUGCCCUUGAUUUGGGAUGGAGUAUAUAUUUGAAUCAGCUGCAGCACUUUUCCCAGGUGAGGCUGGAGCAGGUGUGGAGAGCAAACUGGGAAGGGACCGGGCUCCAGCCACCUGCGCCAGCUCUUCUUCCGGGAGUCCUGCUCUCGCCUCACCCCGCUUUGAUCUACUGUAGCUUGUCUGCUGUUGCUACAUCAACUGUCAGCAAAGUCUCUCAGUCCCUCUAAAGUGUUGCCCCCUCGUCGCCUCUCCAGAGAGCACAAUGCCUCUUCAGUGGAACCCAAUGGCACACACAGGCCUGCACAGUUUCCUGAGCCCCAUCCUUGUGAGGGAGGAGCAAGAAAAUUCCAGCAGCGCCCCAGGCCCCAACAAACCCUGUAUUGUUUUCUCCCUCAGCAAAAGACUUCUGCGCAGAGCGAGCCACACAGUCUCGCCACUGAGGCUGGUCCCUGCCACCCUGGUGUGACAUUUCUUACCUCCUUGAGAGGAAAGGCUUCCUCUGGAGGCUAAACAGUCUCUCUGCAGCAGGCUUCUCCCUGUGGGGUGCCCUCCAUGUUCUUUGGACUACAAUUCCCAUCAGCCUCAACCAGCACCGGGGCUGCUGGGAUUUGUAGUCCAAAACAUUAGGAGGGUCCCCUACAUGGAGAAGGCUGCUGUCCUCGUUGGCAUUCAUCUAGUUGGCUGUUUGCUUAGUUCCCCAGAGACUUAGGUUGUGUAGACAUUGCCAGCUUAUGUGGAAUGGGUGAUGAUGUUGCAAGACAUGUACGCAUUCCGCAUGUACUGUGCACAAACCAGCCUUUCCCAGCCUGAUGGCCUCCCGAUAUCCCACCUACCCCAGCCAGCCGACAUGUGGCCCACAGAAGGUUGCCCUGAUGGGAAUGUGACCACCAGGCUGAAAUAGCUUUUCAAACCCCUGCUGUAAAUUCUCCAACUGUCAAAGAUCUGCAAGAGAAGUUCUUUGAGGAUCUCACCACUUGGAAGAGAGACAUGGGACAGCUUUUUCUUUUGUCAGUCCCAGAAUGUGGAACGUUCAGCACCCUUCAUCCCUGUCCAUGGGAUCCUGCUGGGUAAGGCAGGUCCAAGAUCUCUGGGGGCAACAGGUCAAGGAAAGCUGGUUCAAGAACUUGGCUAGCGUAUGCUGAGUUUCAACACAGAGGAAAUUAGCAUUGGGGCGGGGGCAGGCUUGUGUGUUGCCAUGUGCAAUCCCCACUUCCUUGAGCAGUCUGAAGCUUCAGGGGCGGUGCUUAUUAGGAGCUGGAUUUAUUUACAAUUUGAGAAGUUUAAACACUUCCAAAGGCAGCACAUUCACAGCUCAGAUGCAUUUGGUGCAGCCUUUGUCAACCUGGUGCCUUCCAGAUGUUUUGAACUACAACUCCUGGCUUGUGGUGAUGGGAGUUGGAAUUGCAGACACCCACAAGACAACACAUUGGUGAGGUCUGUUUUAGCAUAAAGGUUCCCACCUCAGCUCUCUCUCUGUGUCUGCUUCUCUUUCUGUGUCCUGCUAGUUUCCCCCAUUGCUGCUUUUUACACACGCAGCUUGUUCCCCACCCCGCCUCCUCCUCCCUUCAUCUGGGAGGAAGUUUUCACAUUCCAAAGAAUCUUCAGACAAUUAGUUCCCAUGAAGAGACAUUCUUUGAACAUCCUGGGCCAUUAGCAAGCAAUAUGCCUGACAAGAGGUAUGGUCAGCAUAGUUGGCCCAGCUUGGACAGGAUUCAUAAAAAGAGAUAGAUUGAUAGAGCAUGCAAGCACACGCACAAAAUGGAUUAUGACUCAAAAGUCAUCAUUUUGAGAGCAUAUUGAACCUGGGAGAAAUCAGUUCAAAUACCAUCUCAACUGUUGUCUCAUUGAAUAGGAUGAAGUCACAAUGUAGCCAGGAUUUUGGAAAUAAAGCACUGGCAAUUAUGAUUACAAUUCUAAUUAUUUAAAUUAAGUUCAAUAAUCAUAGAAUUGUAGCGUUGGAAAGGAUUCCGAGGGUCAUCUAGUCCAAUGCUCUGCAAUGCUAAAUGCCAAAAUCAGCUCCUCAGCAGUGGAUGAUCUCUACACCCCUCCACACUCGUGCCUGCACACUGUGCAGCCAGUCCUGAAGUUAUAAAAUAGGGUUGCAUUUUUCCAUCAUCCACUUUCAAAAUUUCAGUCCUUGAAUUUGUGAGUGGUGGAAAGCAACCCUGAAGAAAAGUCUGCUUCAGCUGUGAAAUAUAGCGGGUGGGGUGUGUGUGUUAUGGUCCUUGCAGCAGCCUCUGAUGGAUUUUUCUCCUCCAAAAUACAUGGUGCCCCUGUACAUAUAUGCUCACACCAGCUGUUUGUUUACUUUGAAAUAUUUAUAUCCCACAUUUCAAAUGCAAUUCACAAGGCAGCUUUUGAAGAUGGCAAUCAAAUAUAAGACCAGGCUGGUCACAUUAAAACUUGCUCAAAGUCUGGAGCAGAAGAAGGGGCUUUACCUGGUAUCUAAGGUUAGCAGAGUAGGUGCCAAAGGAAUGGCCAUAAGGAGGGAUUUCCAUAGUUGAGGUGAUCCCACCUCAUCUCAGAAGGUGGGGCAACCGAAAGACAUGUCUCUAAUGCCACAUCCAGCUUGGCUUUCUAUCAGGAGAAUCAGAAGCCCUCUGCAAACACGUUGUGUAGAAUGAACACACUGAGAGGAGGGGUUCAGGAUCAAGCUUACUGGACCUGCCCCAACCCACACAUUUUGCACAAAGCUCAUUCAGAGAGCUACAGCUUUGCCACGACGAUCCAUGCUCUUAGAGGUUAGACUGCUGUGACACAUUGUAUGUGGAGCUGCAUUUGAAGAGUGUCCAGAAACUGUAACUGUAAUACUGGUCACUUGCGCCGGAUUGAGGGAGGUGAGGCUCUCUUGACCUCCCCACCCCUUGACCAUCAGUCAGGGGGGAUUCCUCUCUGGGGCCAGGCUAGGUUUGCCAUCCCUUUGACUUCUCUUCUGCUGCUCUAAUAGAGAUCAGCUGUCAGCAGGCCUCUGGUUUUCCCGUGUACGAGGACAGAGCGGGAACUGUUGGCUCAGAAGCGCAGCCCUGACAUUUUCUAGCAGGAGCUGCCUCACAGAGCAAAGGUCACUUUUCUCCCUUAGAUAUUCUCAGCAUUUCUGGCCCGAAAGAUGCACUUUGCAGGCCUAGACCAAGUACUGUGGAAAAGCAUGCAGGAAACUUGUCCUGCACAUCUAGACAAUGGAUUGGCCAGAAGAUAGUGGUAGUGGCAGGGCUGGCUGGCUGGCUACAUAUUGCCACUUGUGGAGAGGGUGGUGGAAUAUCUUGGAGCAGGGGAGGACCACCACAGGAACCCUGCCCCAGAUACCCACAAACUCCAUCUUGAACUAUCAGUUUAAAGCAGUAUCACACCACUUUACACAGUUGUGGCUUCCCCCAAAGAAUCCUGGGCGCUUUAGUUUGUUAAGGGUGCUGAGACUUCUUAGGCUAUCCCUAUUACUCUUCACAGAGCUACAAUUCCCAGAGUUCCUUGGAAAGAGGGAUUGACUAUUAGAUAACUCUGGGAAUUAUAGCUCUGGGAGGGGAAUAGGGGGUCUCCCAAACAAGUCUCAGCACCCUUAACAAACUACAACUCCCAAAUUUAUUUGGAGGAAGCCAUGACUACUCCAGCCCACAUAUUUUUUUAAUCUCAAGUAGCUGGCUGCCAACUGCCCCAGUUAGCAGGUAGGCAGCAAAACAAAACAAAAUGAAGUGGCAAAUGGGUGGAUCAAAAAAACUAGAAAAUACAACAGAAGCAGGAAAAGUGCACUAAAAGGAAGAGGAAAACAUAAGUCUUGAAGAUCCCAGGGAUUGUCUGGUGUCCAGACAACUCUCUUAUCAAUCAUAGCUCAGACUUCACUCAUUGGCUAAACACACAUGACAGGCAGGAGCAGUCAGGUCAGUUAUCCACACAUUUGCCUCAUAACUUUUUUCCAGGAGGGCUAGAGAUUUACUUUUAAAAAAGGGAAGAAAGAAUGUGGAGCCUUUGCCUGUGUGCGCCAAGUAAGGUCUUUGCAGGUGCCAUAGCACCUGGUGUUUAAGUAGUAUUAGGGUGCUUUAAUUGUAUGGUGUGGUUGUGAUCAUGGUGGUUUCCAACCGCAUCAGUAUCGGCACCGAACUAAGACAAAAAUAACAUUCGUCAAAUUAGAUUCACCCCCCAAAAAUGCGACUGUAAAUAGUGUUGCAGGCGCUCCAAUACAAUGAUGCAGGAAAUGUAUGACUAGGCAGUAGCAUUCCUGAACAGGAUUUAAGGCUUAACGAGGCCAACAAGCAGAACAUGAGCCUGGAGCAUGACAGCGUAGCACAAACAGCCAAGGCCAUUUUAGGUUGUCCUAACAGGAGCGCAUGUGUCCGAGAUUUGGGAAAUCACAUUAUUUCGCUACUAGGCAUUGGUCAGCCUCAUUCCAGCGGUAAAGAAUGUUGAAAGGAAAUGAGCAAUAGACCAGGACAGGAAGCAGGGUGUGUGUGUGUGUGCAUGUACGUGUACAUGCGUGCCUGUUAAACUGCGAAACAGUAGACCAGACAUCCCCAGCCUGGUGCCCUCCAGCUGUUUCAGACUACAGCUGGGGCUGAUGGGCAUUGUCUCCCAAACAAACUGAGUUAUGGCUUGGUCUUUUCAAGAAGGCCACAAGCAAUGUUGGAGGAUGCAGUAGAUGGGCUUGCCACUGUCUGGGCAGUGAACACGGACCUUAAUCAAUGAUGAGGUCAAGCUGCACUCAUCAUUGGAAGCUAUUACUUCAGAAGAAAGUUGUCACCUUCCCCUCUGACCCUGCUCCUCUGCCACUAUGUUCAUUAUAGAAUUCUAGGAUAUGGUCUGAGACUGAAAGGAAUAUGGGUCUCCUAGCAACUUGUAGCACCCUUAACAAAUGACAACUUCCAGAAUUCUUUGGGGGAAGCCAUGACGGUUUAAAGUGGUCUGAUGAUGCGUUAAAUCUAUGGGCUGGACCAGGCAGCCCGGGCAGAACUGCCUUCCUCCACAUGUAGAGGACUGUCCUCUGAAAAGUAGGGCACGUGACCACCGCAGCCCAUCUGCCUGCAAGCAAAAGUAUUCCUGCUUCCCUCUCCUGCCCUCUCCCCUGGAAUGGGAGGCAGCGCACUGAAAGCCACAACACUGAUGGAAUGACGGACAUGGCCUUCUGCCCCCUCUCUCCCUUGGCUCAGCCAUCUGUUCGCCUUUCCUUUUCUCCACCCCUCCCCGCAUGGCAACCAGCCUCAUUUGUGGACAAUCAGAGGAUGGUUUCAUGGACCAUCUGUUGCCCACCAAUCAUUGCUCACAGAGGCUGCUGUCACCGGCAAGUGGCUUCUGCUGGGUCGCAGCAUAUGCAGGCAACCGAGGCCAAGUCUGCCCCUGCCCUGAUCCUCCCAGCCUCCUGCUGCCCCCACACCCUGGACUCUGGAGCAAGCAUGCAUGGUCACAUGCGCCCAUCCACGCACAGAGGGUGACGGAACAGUUGUCAGAGGCCGGCUAGAAGGUUCCUGAAUGAGAAGAUCAGUCAUGGUUGGCAAAGCUUAAUGGGAGAGAGAUUUGCCCUAUGGAGAGCUGAAAGGGAGGGCAUGCACUCGCUGCACAAAAGGAAAUAGUUUGACCCAGAUGGCCUGGCCAUUGUGCCCCUUGAGUGCAGCAUAAAUCAAGGGAUUUUUUGCCUGGUCAGAGGAAGCAAUGCUUCUGAAUACCAGUUGCGGGAAGCCACAAGGCGGAGGGGUGAGUGCUCAGGCACUUGGGUCCUGCUGAUGGGUUGCCCACUGGCAUCUGGUCUGCCACUGUGAGAACAGGAUGCUGGGUGAGAUGGGCCAUUGGCCUGAUCCAGAAGGCUCUCCUUAAGUUCUUAUGACAUGCGCAGGGACAUAUAAGGCAAGCACACCUAUUGCUACUUACCUACACGAGCUCUAAAAAGCAUGAGAGACAAAGAUGAUUUUUGACAGAAUAUGGUAUGUGUUUAUUCAGUACAUGAGAAGGGGCGGUACAGUGACAAAACCACCAGCAACUCGGAGUUCUCUCUGGAGCAACUUGUUAAGAUAGGGAUAGACAACAAUGCUCAACCAUCACAACUAUCCAAAAUCCAACAUAUGAACCUCACAAUUACUUACCUUUUCUCUUUUCUUUUUUUAAAAGACUUUAUUAAGUAAUCAAAAUCUCAUACAAUAAAACAAAGCAAAGAGCUAAGAGGCAACAUACCAUUACAGAUCCAUGAUGCAUACUUAGACAUUACUUUGAAACCGAGAAUCAUAGAAUUGUAGAGUUGGAAGGAACCCCAAGGUUCAUCUAGUCCAGCCCCCUGCAAUGCAGGAAUAGAAAGGUUAAUCACAGAAAGGUCCAGGCCAACCAAGAUCAAUCAAGACAAUGAAAAUAUAAAUUUUGUGAAGGCAAAAAAGAGCUAAUAGUAAUAAGUAUUCUCAUGUAAUCAGUACCAAAUAAGAUCAAAUUUGGUGGGAAGGUGUCAGCCAUGAGCUUGUUUUUUUAAUAGACAUCAAAAACAUCCCCCACAUAGGGGGAUAAUCAAUUGGCUUAGUGAUGCCUUGUGAAACACAUAUCAUAUAGGUCAAUUUUUAUUAAAUUGCAUUAUGCAGGGCCUUAUUAAAUGACAUGUUAAGGUGAAAGUCUGAUGUAUUUCUCCACUCUCAAUCUAAAAAUGUACACACAUAGCAUAUAUGGGGGAUUUACAUUAGAAGUAUUUGUGCUUUUGUAAUAUUUUUGAAAAUGAAAAUAUACCAUAUAUAUUUUUAAAGACCCUCUUUAAGGAUGCAGGCUAGGUAGGUGAGGCUAAGAGACGGUGACUGGCCCAAGGUCAUGGAAGGAGCGCCGUGACUGAGUGGGGAAUUGAACACUUUAACUACUAGACCACAUUAGCUCUGAGCAGUGAACACCCUCCCCACCCUGACCACUAUUGGACCUCCCAACUCCACUGUGAUUUCUGAUGUUUUACCAGGAAAUGUUUGAGUUUAUAUUUAGCACCACAGAUAGAAGCUUGCCUUAAGAAUCUAUCAGAUAGGUUCUGCACCCAGUUCUUUAUUCUGUGCUUGUUUAGUAGGCCAUCACAGGCAUGAGGAAUAAAUGCAUCCCUUAAUAUCGCCUUUGCUCUGCAAGUAUCUUGCAAACACGCAAACUGCCAUGGCAGUCUGCGAGCAGCAGCCCCAAGGGACAGGGAAGGAGCUCACAAAGUCACUGCUAGUCCUUUCUCUGUUUCAUUUGAAGCCACAUCUACACUGCAGAAAGGCUACAGCCAUUUGGCCCUCUGUCAGCAUCUAUAUAGGUGGACUGUUUCAGGGAGCGAAGCUCUGCCUAUAGGUUGCCCUGGCAACUGUUGCCAUAGAAGGCAUCCCAUGGUGAAGUUGACAAUCACAGUGAUAAGUCCACUGUUGUCCUCCGAGAGAGCCUUUGUCUCUUGGAAGGAGAUGUUUUAUGGGUCUGUCUUAAGGGACUCUCUCUGCAAUUAGGUCGCUGCCCUGAUCUAACAUAGGCUCAGCAGAAAGGAUAGUUUCAGCAGGAUAUACAGGAAGAAGUUUCACCUAUCAAAUUUCUCUUUUCUAUGCAACUCGUGGAUAGGAUCUAGCACAAGGGUCAGCAACCUUUUUCAGCAGGGGGCUGGUCCACUGUCUCUCAGACCAUGUGGUGGGCCAGACUAUAUUUUGGAAAAAAAUAUGAACCAAUUCCUAUGCCCCACAAAUAAUCCAGAGAUGCAUUUUAAAUAAAAGGACACAUUCUACUCAUGUAAAAACACGCUGAUUCCCGAACCGUCCACAGGCCGGAUUGAGAAGGCAAUUGGGCCACAUCCGGCCCACGGACCUUAUGUUGCCUACCCCUGAUCUAGCAGUUCUUCCCAGGUCCGUUAAAGACAUCAGUUGCUUGUUCUGGGUGGGGUUGUGUUUCUUCUGAAGGAGUAGACACAUUGCAGGUUUUUAUACAGAGGUUGGAUGGUCAUCUGUCAGGGAUGCUUUAACUGCGAUUCCUGCAUGACAGGGGUUUGGACAAAAUGACCUUUGGCAUCCCUUCCAACUCUACAGUCCUAUAAUUCUAUGAGUUUGAGGGUGCUCCUGGAAACAUCCAUCACUGGAGACCCAAGUGGCUUCUGGAUCUACAAAAGCCUUCUGCCAGCUUCAGCUGACACAACAGCUCCAGCUAUUCCUGGACAGCUGUGGGCAGGAUUCUUGCACUGCAGGAGGUUGGAGUAGAUGACCCUUCCAACUCUAUGAUUUUGUGACUUCUAGGAUAGCUUAGGUGCUGUAGUCUAGGCACUGGGAAACUCCAGAUUGGGUUACUGCAAUGUGGUUGACCUCGGGCUUCCCCUACAGGUUGGUCUGGAAGCUGCAACUAGUGCCAAAUGCAGUAUCUUUUUUUUUUAAAGAAUAUUUAUUCCAAUUUUACAAUUACAAAAAAAAGAAAAAGUAUAAAAAAAAGAAACACAAACCACAUACAUCUUAUAAAAAACAGACAAUAAAAGGAAUAAGAAAAACAGAGGAUCACAGUAAAAAAAAAGAAAAUAACAAAAAACAUAUUUGACCAUUACAAACCAUUUUCCCAUUUACUUAUUUCCAUGACUUCCUCUCACCUCCCUGCUUUGUAUUCUAGUUUAAAUCGUAUCUCCAGCAAAUCCUUCUAACCUUCUUUUCUUUUACUUAUUUUAACAUUCGAAAAUAUUGAAUUCUCCUCUAUCCUCAUUUUACACUUCAUAUUUACUUAUUCCAUUAUACCCUGUCUGCCAAUACGGUCUAAUAUUCUUCUCCAACCUUUUUCUAACAUUCUUUUAUAUUGCAUUGUUUCUGAAGAUAUAUUUUAAAUUUUUUCCAGUCUUCUUCCAUCAACCCUUCUUCCUGGUCUCGAAUUCUGCCGGUCAUCUCAGCCAGUUCCAUAUAGUCCAUCACUUUCCUCUGCCAUUCUUCUCGGGUAGGCAAUUCUUGUGUCUUCCAGUAUUUCCCAAUGAGUAUUCUUGCCGCUGCUGUCGUAUACAUAAAAAAGUCCUGUCUUCCCUUCGCACCAAUUGGCCGACCAUGCCCAAGAGGAAAGCCUCUGGUUUCUUCACAAAAGUGUAUUUCAAUACCUUUUUUUAAUUCAUUAUAUAUCAUUUCCCAGAAGGCCUUGAUCUUUGGGCACGUCCACCAAAGGUGAAAGAACGUACCUUCAUUUUCUUUACAUUUCCAACAUUUAUUAUCAGGCAAAUGAUAGAUUUUUGCUAGCUUGACUGGGGUCAAGUACCACCUAGAUAUCAUUUUCAUUAUAUUUUCUCUUAAGGCGUUACAAGCCGUAAAUUUCAUACCUGUGGUCCAUAACCGUUCCCAGUCGGCAAACAUGAUAUUAUGCCCAACAUCUUGUGCCCAUUUAAUCAUCGCAGAUUUAACCAUUUCAUCCUGUGUAUUCCAUUUCAACAGCAGAUUAUACAUUCUUGACAGAUUUUUAGUUUUAGGUUCUAACAAUUCCAUUUCCAGUUUAGAUUUUUCCUCCUGGAAACCAAUCUUUUUAUCUAGGUUAAAAACCUCCCUUAUUUGAUAGUAGUGAAGCCAAUCUCGAACUUUAGUUUUUAAUUUAUCAAAGCUCUGCAAUUUUAAUUUAUCUCCAACUUGUUCUAAAAUUUCACAAUAUUUUGGCCAGUUUGUCUCCAUAUUUGUUUUUUUCAAUGCCUUUGCCUCCAUUGGUGACAGCCACCUUGGUGUUUUACUUUCCAACAAAUCCUUAUAUCUCACCCAGACAUUAAACAAUGAUUUCCUGACAAUAUGAUUCUUAAAGGCCUUAUGCGCUUUAACUUUAUCAUACCAUAAAUAUGCAUGCCAUCCAAACACAUUAUCAAAACCUUCUAGGUCCAAAAUGUCCACAUUUUCAAGAAGUAGCCAAUCUUUCAGCCAACAAAAGGCGGCUGAUUCAUAGUAAAGUUUAAGGUCUGGCAGGGCAAAUCCCCUCUUUCCUUCGCGUCUGUUAAAAUCUUAAAUAUUAUUCUAGGUUUUUUGCCCUGCCAGAUAAAUUUGGAAAUAUCUCUUUGCCACCUCUUGAAACAGUCCAUUUUGUCCACAAUUUGUAAUGUUUGAAACAAAAACAACAUUCUAGGCAAUACAUUCAUCUUUAUCGCUGCAAUUCGGCCUAACAAUGAUAACUUCAAUUUUGACCAUAUUUCUAAAUCCUUCUUCACUUCUGACCAGCAUUUUUCAUAAUUAUCUUUAAACAGAUUCACAUUUUUGGCAGUCAUAUUCACUCCUAGAUAUUUCACUUUAUUAACAAUUGUUAAUCCUGUCUCUUUCUGAAACCUCUCCUUCUCAAUCUCUGUAAGAUUUUUCUCUAAUACCUUAGUUUUCAUCCAAAUGCAGUAUCAAGGCUACUGAAGCAGCUGCCCAACCACUGACAGGUGCCAGCACACAACACUUGUACCGAAAGAGUUACACUAGCUCCUUUUGCCAUAUAAAGCCCUAAGCUACUUGGGACCAGGUUAUCUUGGAGAACAUUUUCCUUUGUAUUCCUCUGCACAGCCAAUUUUGUCCUCAGGACAGCUACUCAUGGUAGUGAUGCAGACUCACAAGGUUUGCGCGUCGGAAGUCAAAUGGAAUAAAAAUUUACAGAUUGUUCCCUAUUGAAGGAGAAUUACAUGAAGAUGAUGUAUAGAUGGUACACAACACCAGUGUACAAAACAUUAAGUUUACAAAACUUGAAGUUUAAGGAAAAGGACAUUUUAUCAUAUGUGGUGGGAUUGGAAUGUAAUUAAAAAAUUUUGGGAAAUGAUAUACAAUGAAUUGAAGAAAAUGUUCCAUUUAACAUUUGUUUAAAAAACCCAAGGCAUUUUUGUUGGGGAUUGUAGGGAAAGACCUGCCAAAAAAGCUGAAAAACAUCUUCAUGUUAGCGACAACGGCCGUGAGAGUUCUGGUAGCACAAGGAUGGAAGACUGAAGAAACCCCAACUAAAGAAUCAAGGGAAGAAAAAUUGACGGACUAUGCAGAACUGGCAAAACCGACAUAUAAGCUACGGGACAAGGAUAACUGUGACUUUAAAGAUGAAUGAGAACCCUUUACAAAGUAUCUGAAGAUGCAACAAAGUGAACUGGACUCCUUGGCAGGUUUUGAAUAAACAUUCACAAACUUUUUAUUGAUAAUAAUCAGCUAAAUAGUCUGAGAAUCUAUACAACUUUGUAACAUGCAGAAAACAGCAGUCUCAGAGAAACCAAAGACUGGAACUGAGGGAAGUCGGGG